rnacentral:rRNA from 1 species
UACGUAGGGUGCAAGCGUUAUCCGGAAUUACUGGGCGUAAAGAGCUCGUAGGUGGUUUGUCGCGUUGUCCGUGAAAACUCACAACUCAAUUGUGGGCGUGCGGGCGAUACGGGCAGACUGGAGUACUGCAGGGGAGACUGGAAUUCCUGGUGUAGCGGUGGAAUGCGUAGAUAUCUGGAGGAACACCGGUGGCGAAGGCGACAUCCUGGGCCGUUUCUGACGCUGAGGCGCGAAGGCUAGGGGAGCGAACGGG